rnacentral:rRNA from 1 species
UACGGAGGAUCCGAGCGUUAUCCGGAUUUAUUGGGUUUAAAGGGGGCGUAGGCGGUUUGAUAAGUUAGAGGUGAAAUGUCGGGGCUCAACCCCGAAACUGCCUCUAAUACUGUUGGACUAGAGAAUAGUUGCGGUAGGCGGAAUGUAUGGUGUAGCGGUGAAAUGCUUAGAGAUCAUACAGAACACCGAUUGCGAAGGCAGCUUACCAAACUAUAUCUGACGUUGAGGCACGAAAGCGUGGGUAGCAAACAGG